rnacentral:rRNA from 1 species
GCUAAAAAUCUAGCCCCCCCCAUUCUUAUGACCCCACACAAUUAACCACAUCAAUUAAAACAUUUUUUUAUCUUAGUAAAGGCGAUUAAAAAAUUAUAAGGAGCAAUACAAAUAGUACCGAAAGGGAAAGAUGAAAUAAAAAUGAAAUAAAUUUCAAGCACCUAAAAGUAGAGAUUAACUCUCGUACCUUUUGCAUCAUGGUUUAACUAGUCAAAUCAAGCAAAACGACUUAUAGUUUGAUUUCCCGAAACUAAGCGAGCUACUUCAGGGCAGCUUCAUGAGCAAACCCGUCUCUGUUGCAAAAGAGUGGGAAGACCUUCAAGUAGAGGUGACAGACCUAACGAGCCUAGUGAUAGCUGGUUACUCAAGAAAAGGAUUUUAGUCCAACCUAAAGUCUUAUCAAUAAUUUUAAAUAUUAGACUUACUUUAGAGCAAUUCAAAUAAGGUACAGCCUAUUUGAAACAGGAUACAACCUAAACCGAAGGGUAAUUAUUUUUAUAAUAAUUAAGUAGGCCUAAAAGCAGCCACCUUUAAAAUAGCGUCAAAGCUUUAUUUAUAUACUUUAUUAAAUACCACAAACAAUCUAGAACCCUCCACCACUAUUGAGUACUUCUAUAUAUGUAUAGAACAUUUUAUGUUAAAACUAGUAACAAGAAGAAGACCUUCUCUUAAAUGUAAGUGUAAAUCAAAAAGGACUAACCGUUGACUAUUAACAUACAUGAAAGUAAAUUAGUAACCAAACAAGAAAAACCUCAUUUAUUAUAUGUUAACCUAACACAAGAACAUUUCAAGAAAGAUUAAAAGAAAAAGAAGGAACUCGGCAAAUAUUAACCUCGCCUGUUUACCAAAAACAUCGCCUCUUGAUCAAAUAUAAGAGGUCCAGCCUGCCCAGUGACUCUGUUCAACGGCCGCGGUAUCCUAACCGUGCGAAGGUAGCGUAAUCACUUGUUCUUUAAAUCAGGACUAGUAUGAAUGGCACCACGAAGGUUAUACUGUCUCCUUUUUCUAAUCAGUGAAACUAAUCUCCCCGUGAAGAAGCGGGGAUGAUCUUAUAAGACGAGAAGACCCUAUGGAGCUUUAAACUAAAUAACACCUGCUUUUAUUUUUUAGUAUUUCAGAAUAACCAAUACUUAUCCUAGCUUCAUGAUUAUUAGUUUUAGGUUGGGGUGACCGCGGAGAAAAAGACAACCUCCACAUUGAAUGGGAUUUUAACCCCCUGAGCCACGAACCACAACUCCAUGCACCAAUAAACUGACAUCAAUUGACCCAAUAUUUUGAUCAACGAACCAAGUUACCCUAGGGAUAACAGCGCAAUCCGCUUCAAGAGCUCCUAUCGACAAGCGGGUUUACGACCUCGAUGUUGGAUCAGGGUAUCCCAGUGGUGCAGCCGCUACUAAAGGUUCGUUUGUUCAACGAUUAAAACCCU